GUAUUAAUUUUUUGUUGUUUAUAACCAUUCUAAUACUUUUAAUUGGAGUAUAGGUUUAAAACAUAGAUCUGAAAAAAUACAAGAAAGAGCUGGGCAUAAAAACCACAGCAAUUCCUCUGACCAAGAUGUUACCCAUCUUGAAAAGUAUUCAGAUCUACAAAAAGUGCACAGGUGGGUUUAUAAAAUUGGAAUAAGCGUGCACAUUCUCCAAAGAGAUAGCAGCAGCGUAAACCAAGUUUAUUCAAUAAUGAUCCUUCCGCAGGUUCACCUACGGAAA
rnacentral:misc_RNA from 1 species